rnacentral:rRNA from 1 species
CGUGUAGGCGGCCUUUUAAGUCUGAUGUGAAAGCCCGGGGCUUACCUCCGGAAGUGCAUUGGAGACUGGGAGGCUAGAGUACCGGAGAGGAGGGUGGAAUUCCUGGUGUAGCGGUGAAAUGCGUAGAUAUCAGGAGGAACACCGGUGGCGAAGGCGGCCCUCUGGACGGAUACUGACGCUGAGACGCGAAAGCGUGGGGAGCAAACAGGAUUAGAUACCCUGGUAGUCCACGCUGUAAACGAUGGGCACUAGGUGUUCGGGGUAUUGACCCCCUGAGUGCCGCAGCUAACGCAUUAAGUGCCCCGCCUGGGGACUACGGCCGCAAGGUUAAA